rnacentral:rRNA from 1 species
GAUGAACGCUAGCGGCAGGCUUAAUACAUGCAAGUCGAGGGGCAGCAUGAGUGUAGCAAUACAUUUGAUGGCGACCGGCAAACGGGUGCGGAACACGUACACAACCUUCCGAUAAGUGGGGAAUAGCCCAGAGAAAUUUGGAUUAAUACCCCGUAACAUAUAGAGGUGGCAUCAUCUUUAUAUUAUAGCUACGGCGCUUAUUGAUGGGUGUGCGGCUGAUUAGAUAGUUGGCGGGGUAACGGCCCACCAAGUCUACGAUCAGUAGCUGAUGUGAGAGCAUGAUCAGCCACACGGGAACUGAGACACGGGCCCGACUCCUACGGGAGGCAGCAGUAAGGAAUAUUGGUCAAUGGACGCAAGUCUGAACCAGCCAUGCCGCGUGAAGGAUUAAGGUCCUCUGGAUUGUAAACUUCUUUUAUCUGGGACGAAAAAAGGCGAUUCCUCGUCACUUGACGGUACCAGAUGAAUAAGCACCGGCUAACUCCGUGCCAGCAGCCGCAGUAAGAC